rnacentral:lncRNA from 1 species
GCUGACUCAUUUCGUCUAAAUCUAAUUCAGAAAUUACAAUCAUUAAUUAAUUUCAGUGUGAUACAGGUAUUAAGAUUUAAGACUAUAAGCUACCAUGUAGGAGUAUCGAUUUUGCCUCCACCAUAUACACACAGCGUUUAUUGGUCAAUAUGAAACGCGUUUUGAAUGCGAUGAACAUGCGAAGGGGUCAAGGUGGGUCGGUCCAAAUUUUCUAGAAGGGGAGAAGCCAAAUGGUGGUGGAGGUGGAUGCGGAGGUGGAGGGGGUCGUCGGC